AUGUGGGAAAAGUCAGGGGGUCUGAAUACUUUCCGAAUGCACUGUAUACACUAAUUGUAAUUUAGUGUCAAAUUGGGAUUAGUGUAUACUAAUCAAAUUGGGAUUAGUAUACACUAAUCCCAAUUUGAUUUGUCUUUUUGUUUUUAUUUUGGUAAAACAGCUGUUUAGGGGAUGCUACUAUAUCAUAAAUAUUUUAUGGAGACUUGCAUUAAUAGAUGCAAUUAAUGUACUUAUUUAAAAGGAUUGCCUCUUAAGAAACAGUAAUUUACUAGUCAACUAACAGAACAAAUACUAUAUCACAUCUACAGUACUCAAUAACACAAGCUUGUUUCAGAUAAAUAUGUUUUUAAUUUUCUUAGCAUAUCUCAUGAAAAUGUUUUAAGUUCACAAGGGUAACCCUCCUCCACUCCAACUCUACAGCUUUUGCAAUCCAAAGUUCAUUGACCUGUUGGAGAAAUGUGGGGUUUGCAAACUGCAUUCUGUGUUUACCGUGUGGGGUUGUAGUACAUUUCACUCCUUUUCCCCAUUGCUUCCUCUGAGUUGUCCAGGCAGGCUAGCUGAGGCUAGAGAGUUCAGCUAGUACUUCUGGUCCAUAGAGACUUGCUCCCUCUGACCCAGUCCACUCUGCAACUACUCAUAUCUGUCAUGUACUUAUUUACUGGAAAGUACAUAUUUUCUCAGGAAGUUAAAUUGACUAAUUGGUUCUCUAUAGUUUCAUCAUGAUGGGUCUGAGUCAAUACUGGCAUUCCUGUCACUGGAUGGUAUGGGAGUUUCUGAGAAUGUGCCCUAUAAUCUUUUGGGGGUACAUCUCUGUUAUGUACUGUCCUAUAAUAACCCUACCUCACAUGUACAGAAGUAGCUGCCUGGGGACAGAAAGACCACGCAAAAAAACAACAACCAAAUCCUCAGACUUCAACUCUGGCCUGGUUGAGGCCCAAUUAUAGCCUACUGGGGCAGUUUUGUGAUGUUUAGUUUAUCAAAGGUUAGCCUCAAUCCAUCCCCCAUCUCCCUGGAGGUGUCUUCUGUUCCCUCCCUCUUCCUCCUCUUGUCUGUUUGGCAUGCUCAACACAGCCUGGAUCAGUUGCAAGUUUCUGAGGAGACACUACACAGCUCUGGGUUCCAGUUUGAAGUCAGUAUUAAUUUAGCUGCUUGUGUGAUGGAUAAGUGUUUGAUGACACUCCCAGUCCUGCUCCUGUUCCUGGGCCUGGUUGGGAUAUCCCGCUCCUGUCUGAAUCCUGUCUCUGCAUACAGAUUCACUGGGGCUGUCUAUAGGCUGACCUACUCUGCAGCAGUGGUCUUGUCAACGUGGGACAUUCAGUAGAUUUUGAAAUUGAGUCACAUAUUGAUCUCGGCAGUAACCCCAAACUUUAUUGUGGAAAAGAGAAAGUUGCCACUGACACCUCAGUCUGUUACCUCACCUUCCACAAGCUCAAUCUCCUGCUGCAGGGAGACAAAGAACCUGGCUGGCUGAAGAGGCUGUUUACAGACUUUAUCACCUUCACAGUGAAGUUGGUUAUUAAAAGCCAGCUGAUUCAACGUGGUGUGGCAGAUACCAAAACUCUUCUGCGGUAGGAUACACAGUGUGGCCACUGCUCAUUCUCUCAAAAUGUCUGCGCCCAAAGAAGACAAGUUUCCGAGGAGAGAAGGACCAUUAUGAGAUGUUAUGUCGGAAUUUCACCGGAGCAAUGUCCGGAGAAGAGGAAUAUUGGGACAGGGACACAGAAAGAUGGAUUUCUGAGGAGGAAUGGAGGGGGAAAAAAGAGGAAGAAGAGGUUAAAGAAAAUGAGGAAAACUGAGGUUGGAAUUGAAUUUGAGGAAAUGGCUAUAAAAAUGGAAAUUGGGUGUUGAAGAAGAGUCAAGUGCAAACAAAGUGAGCUGUGCUCCAGAUCAAGUGAAGGAGGUGAAAUGAAAGUGAAGGAGAGUGAGUUAAGUGAGAUGGAAGGUGUGGUGCAUCAAUGGACAUGAUGAGGAAUCUGGUCCAGUAGGAGUGACAUUUUUGAAGAAAAUUGAUCCUUGCCUUUUGGCAGAUCCAUUUGUGGUUUCAGGGUUGGUGAUAAAGGAGUUGGGUACAGUUGAAUCAGUGAAGGUAACCUGUAGUGAUAUUUGUGUGUGUUUCUUCUGAUCAACAGGAGCGGGUGCUUCGUGUCAUGCAACUUGGGUCAAGAUCUGUUUCUUGCUUUGCACUUUGGAACAGGGCACAAUUGAAAGGAGUGAUUUCUGGGGAAGCAUUAAGUGUGGAGGUGGAGCAAUUGAAGUUAAAGAUUCCUGGUAUUUGUGAUGCCCGCUGUUUGGUGAGAUGCAGACCCGGUGGUGAGCGUUAUGAAACAGAGGAGUCACUGUCAGUCCUUUUGAGUUUUGAGUCUUUACCCGACAAAGUAAUGUUAGGAUAUAUCAGUUAUGCUGUUAGAGCUUUUGUGCCGAACCCACUGUGGUGUUUCAGAUGCAACGUUUAUGGUCAUGUCGCAGCAGUUUGUAGGAGGGAGAUUCCAAAUGUGGGAAGUGUGCAGGUGUAACGGAUGUGAAAUGGCUAGCUAGU